GCACUGCUGAAGAGUCUCAUGAUAAGACGAAAUGGCCGUCCAGUGC
rfam:Schistosoma mattheei strain Denwood, Zambia genome assembly, scaffold: SMTD_contig0018601